rnacentral:lncRNA from 1 species
GUUCUGGAAGCAUUAGAAGUUUACGAGCAAGUUCAAAAGGUCUAAAGAUUCGUGCAGUGUGGCUCCUGGUAUUUUCUGGUAAAAAAGGUUUUCCAAGUUCAUAUUAUUCAUCACAGGCCAUAACACAAAGACAGACAUGUUUAAAAUGAUUGAUGUGCAUGUCUCUCUAAUAUAGUUUAUAUAUGUUACUUACAGUAAUAGCUGCAUCUUCACACCUCGGCUAAGAGGACUCUGGUUCCACUCCAUUGGCAUCUUUGCUAUGACAAAGCUGAUUAAGAGCUUUUCAUACUUGCAGCUUCAACACUGUGAAGUAUUUUGAGAUCUGUGUCAUUUCUGUGUAGAAGCGUAGAAGUGUAGGAUCUAAUUAACACAGCUUAUGAGGAGACAGUUUUUGUCGUGCGGAGGUGUUCCCCACUUGUCUAGCCAACAUUUUUUGUGAGGUAAGGCUGUCUUCCUAGCAUAGGAUCUUUCCACUGUAAUUGUUCCAUAUGUAGAUAUAUCCCCUUAUUUUCGCUUUAUAUUUUCUGUAAUAUUUACAUGGCUUGAAGCUUAUUGUCUUCAGAAUUGACAAAAGCCGGUCUCCUCCCGGUUCAUACUCCCAACACAAAUUUCCUCAAAGAG